UCUUGAAGUUGUCAUUAAACCAGGAGAAAAUAAAGAUCGCAAUUAAAAAUGGCCAUCUUCAUGACUUCUACAGCCCCAAAUCUAUCAGCUAAGUAGUCCUUGGUCUUAAAGAUAGCUUGACACAACUUUGGCUUUCCGAUCCUUCAUUCACAAAACUCUGAUGCGGUUAAUGAAGCGAAAGUCCUUGGGCAGUAUGUUUGCAGACCAUUGAUUAUUUCCACCUAAUAAAAACGUUAAGCAUAA